CCCGCGCGAACUCAAAGUUAAAUCAAAUUUGUAUGGAGCUGGAACGUUUGCUUACGUUUACCGCUAGGGGCGCUGUUCCAACUGCAUACAAAUUGUAGAUAACUUUUACGCUAUCGA
rnacentral:pre_miRNA from 9 species